rnacentral:siRNA from 1 species
GUAGUUUAUAUCGUUACAGUGGUC